rnacentral:tRNA from 4 species
GUCCCAGUAGCUCAGCUGGAUAGAGCAACGGCCUUCUAAGCCGUAGGUCGCAGGUUCGAAUCCUGCCUGGGAUG